GACGAACGCUGGCGGCGUGCUUAACACAUGCAAGUCGAACGGAGUGGCGAACGGGUGAGUAACACGUGGGAGACCUGCCCUGAACUUCGGGAUAAGCCUGGGUAACUGGGGCUAAUACCGGAUAGUGUGGAUUGGGUGCGCGGCCGUUCGGCUGGUUGGUGGGGUAAUGGCCUACAAAGGCGGCGACGGGUAGCCGGCCUGAGAGGGUGGACUGCCACAUUGGGACUGGGGCACGGCCAGGAGUGCGUCGGGAGGCAGCAGUGGGGAAUGUUGCAAAAUGGGCGGAAGCCUGAUGCAGCGACGCCGCGUGGGGGAUGACGGCCGUCGGGUUGGAACCUCCUUUCACCAUCGACGCGGUAGAUGGAGAGGAAGCACCGGCUAACUACGUGCCAGCAGCCGCGGUAAUUC
rnacentral:rRNA from 1 species